GAUGAACGCUGGCGGCGUGCCUAAUACAUGCAAGUCGAGCGAACGGACGAGAAGCUUGCGUCUCUGAUGUUAGCGGCGCGCGUGUGAGUAACACGUGUAUAACCUCCCUAUCAUACUGGUAUAACUUCGGGAAACCGGAUCUUAUACCGUAUGAUAUUUUGAACCGCAUUGUUCAAAAGUGAAAUACGGUCUUUCUGUCACUUAUAGAGGGAUCUGCGCUUCAUUAUCUAGUUGGUAAGGUAACGGCUUACUAAGGGUACGAUGCAUAUACGACGGGGGGGGCUGGUAGGCCACAUUGGAACUGAGACACGGUCCAGAGUCCUGAGGUAGGCAGCAGUCGGGAAUCGUACGCAAUAGGCGAAAGCAUUACGGAGUAGCGCCGAGUGAGUGAUGAAGGUGUUCCGAUCGUAAAAAUCUGCUAUUAGGUAAGAACAUAUGUGUAAGUUACUGUGCCGAUAUUGACGGUAAUGAGUCAGAAAGCAACGGCUAACUACGUG
rnacentral:rRNA from 1 species